GCCGCUCUUCCCUCCCUCUCCUCCUCUCUCUCUCUCUCUCUCUCUCUCUGUGGAACUUUCUUCACAGCUAGGGUUCCUUUUUCUUUACUUCAAAACCCAAAGCGGAAAGGGCUUCGCUGAAAAAGCACAUGAGUCAAUUACCCCCAAGACUUGCCGUGGAUGAUAUCCACGCCUGUAAAUCUCUACCCUCAUGUGGCUAGGAUUGACAAUGGUGAUAAAUAUGAUGUGGCUGAUGCAGAUGCAGAUGCAGAUGCAGAUGUGAUGAUCAGAUUUUAAAGGGAGUCAUCCAAUUUUAAUUGCUUGGAAAAAAUUGGGUUUUUUAUGCAUUUCAAACUGAUGGGUUGAAUCAUUCUAGUGUUAGUUUGGAAUGGCAAUCGCUGGUCUACACAAUGUUUCUGUGCUUGAUUCUUCUUUCCUCAGAGACUCUCAUUCUCAAACAUCAGGGCAGCAAGGUGAUGAAAGGAGUGUCAGUACCCAGGCAUCCUCUCUUUUGCAGAUGUGGAGGGAGCUUGAGGAUGAGCACGGGGUGGGGCGCCAGCAAGAGAGAGUUGUCCCACAGAGAAGUGAUAGGUUGAAUGCUGACCUCUCAAGGGGACAUAGUUCUGAUACCGAUAGUAAUGAACAUAGGGGUGGUUGGGAGCUCACGAGCCUGACCGAGGGUGAGUGUGGAACAUGGUCGCAAAUUCAGAUUGGUGCACAGAAUGAACACGUGGAUUCAAGCAAUUUUAACUGUGAACAUUCGUCUGAUUUUGGGGAAGUUGAAAGGGAGAGGGUGAGGCAGAUUUUUCGGGAAUGGACGAAUAGUGGUGUGAGGGAACAUGCAUCGAAUGUUUCCCAUAUCAGCAAUAGCCCAAGAGUGGAAUGGCUGGGUGAAACUGAGCAGGGGAGAGUGAGAGUCAUAAGGGAGUGGGUACAACUCAAUAGUCGGCAGAGAGGUGCUUUCACUGACAGUAGAGAAGAACAAACUGCUGAUAUCGGUUCUCAGAUGGAACGAAUUCGGGAAGGAUUGGUUGUUAACCAGAGUGAAGGAAGAAAUGAGCAUAUCCGGAGGGGCAUUCGGCGAUUAUGUGGCCGACAGGCUCUGCUUGAUAUGAUAAAGAAGGCUGAGAGGGAAAGGCAAAGUGAACUUCAAGGUUUGUUGCAGCAUCGAGCUGUAUCGCAAUUUGCUCAUCGGAACCGCAUUCAGUCAUUACUUAGAGGCAGGUUUUUGCGAAAUGACCGAUUGGUUGACAAUGACAGACCUGCUUCCCUGGCCGAAAGUGAACUAGGUUUACUGAGGCAAAGACAAACUGUAUCUGAUCUGAGGGAAGGAUUUUGCUCCAGAUUGGACACUUCUGUAUGUGGUCAAGUAAGCAGCAACCACACUGAUACCUCAACUAACAAUGAAAUUAAUGGCGAUGGAAAUUAUCAACCUCAAGCAAACAAUUCACAGGAUGUUCAAGAUGAACCUAGUGAACGAUCUGAACCUCGUUAUGAGGAGAGUUAUGGUAGGAAUGAUUUUGGAGAUGAUGCUGUUGAAGAUAUUGGAAGGCAAGGAUCCAGUGCUUAUGAAGAAGAGUGCCAGGAACAGCUUUCAGAGAAUGAUAUAUUCAUUCAAAGGAGAGAUGGUACUGAUCAAAGUUUGAAUGGAAACUCCCAGGAAAACAUUGCUAGUGAGCGGGUAGAGAUAUUGCUGAAUGAAUCAGGAGAACAUAAUAAUGUGCAAGAAGCUGGUGAAGAAAUCAGUGGACAAUCUGAGCGAAUUGUUGAGGAAAGUUAUACCCUUGGGUCGUCAGAUCAUACUGAGAAUUUGGAUAUAAUUUGGCCAGAAUCUGCUGCUCAGAUGGAACAGUGGCCAGAACACAUUACAGAAACUGAGGAAAGAGACUCACAACAGGUUAAUGUUGAAUAUCAUGAAUGGAGGGACGGCAUUAGAGAAGGUGUUGAUGAAAACCGGUUGGGAAUCACUUCUAACCACCAAGAAUUGGGGAAUGAAGAUAUGGAACAGGCUCAACUGCAACAAGCCCUAGAAGAGUGGCAUGAGGAUAAUGGUUUUCAGGAGGCCGUGCAGCAUUGGUUAGAAGGGCCUUCUGGUAGUGAAGCUAUUCCAGAUCGCGGGGUUGAUACAUUUUACUUUCCUGACGACGAUAAUGUUUACAGUGUGGAAUUAAGAGAACUUCUAAACAGGAGAAGAGUUUCUAAUCUUCUUCACAGUGGGUUCCGUGAGAGUCUUGACCAAUUGAUCCAAUCAUAUCUGGAAAGAAGAGAGAGUAAUGAUGCUAUUGACUGGGAACUGCCUGGGACAUCACCCUCUCAUGUGUCAGAAGAACAAGAUCCAGAGCAUCGAAGUGGUGAUCAGAAUGAUGGUCAGAGGGAUGCUGUUGAGAGUCCUCCACUUGCUCUACCGUCACCAGCACCACCUUCUCAGCCACUCUACUAUCUGGAGUCGCAGCAUGACAGCUGGCCACAUCAUGACUUGCAUCAACGUCCAGGAAUUGAGUGGGAUAUUGUUAAUGAUUUGCGGAUUGACAUGGCUAGGCUACAGCAGAGGAUGAAUAACAUGCAGAGGAUGUUGGAGGCCUGCAUGGAUAUGCAACUUGAGUUGCAACGCUCAAUACGACAAGAAGUAUCUGCUGCCCUGAAUCGCUCUCCUCCCAUUAUAGGAGUCUCUGUGGAUGGUCUUUUUAAAGACGAACCUCAAUGGGAUUAUGUGAGGAAAGGAAUCUGCUGUAUAUGUUGUGAAUGCAAUAUUGAUUCUUUACUGUACAGAUGUGGACACAUGUGCACAUGUUCAAAAUGUGCAAAUGAGUUGGUCCAAAGUACUGGAAAGUGUCCAAUGUGUCAGGCACCGGUAGUUGAGGUGAUCCGUGCUUACUCUAUUUUAUGAACGGAAGAGUAAUUAAGGAAGAAAACUUGGAUUAACAAAAUAUAGAUUUUCCAUUUCAGUUCUUGCUCCUGGACCACUCCAGUGGUUCGCAUGAGUGAAACGUGACAAUGAGACUACAAUUUUGUAAAGUGUGUGUUGGUUGAAGGCGUGGAGUGAAGUGGAAUGUGCACUGCAGCAAGUGGAAAGAAGGGGAGUAACGAAUUUAACAGAUUGAUCAAUACGGAGGCGUUUUGGGAUUCCCUUCAAUGAAACGGUGCGUGUCGAUGUAAUUGGGGGUAGUUUGAAGAUGAAUACAACAGCGUCGUUUUUUAGUAAUUCCUUGUAAUAGAAAUCUGUUAGUGAAUCAGUUAGUUAUUUGUAGAGCUUUUUCAUGUAUAAAUAGUAAGUCUCUUGUAGAUAAAAGUGUGUAAAAUUUGCGUGGCAAAACUAAGUGUUGGAGAUUGCUCAAAAAUCUCUCCAAGAAUUGAAGUAUAUUCUUGGGCCAU